CUACGGGUGGCAGCAGUGGGGAAUAUUGCACAAUGGAGGAAACUCUGAUGCAGCAACGCCGCGUGGAGGAUGACACUUUUCGGAGCGUGAACUCCUUUUAUAUAGGAAGAAGAUGACGGUACUAUAUGAAUAAGCGCCGGCUAACUCCGUGCCAGCAGCCGCGGUAAUACGGAGGGCGCAAGCGUUACUCGGAAUCACUGGGCGUAAAGAGCGUGUAGGCGGAUUAAAAAGUCAGAAGUGAAAUCCUAUAGCUUAACUAUGGAACUGCUUCUGAAACUCUUAAUCUAGAAUAUGGGAGAGGUAGAUGGAAUUUCUGGUGUAGGGGUAAAAUCCGUAGAGAUCAGAAGGAAUACCGAUUGCGAAGGCGAUCUACUAGAACAUUAUUGACGCUGAGACGCGAAAGCGUGGGGAGCAAACAGGAUUAGAUACCCUGGUAGUC
rnacentral:rRNA from 1 species